GGAAAAGAAACCAACAGGGAUCGCCUUAGUAGCGGCGAGUGAAGCGGCAAAAGCUCAAAUUUGAAAUCUGGCUCUUUCAGAGUCCGAGUUGUAAUUUGAAGAAGGUAUCUUUGGGUCUGGCUCUUGUCUAUGUUUCUUGGAACAGAACGUCACAGAGGGUGAGAAUCCCGUGCGAUGAGAUGAUCCAGGCCUAUGUAAAGUUCCUUCGAAGAGUCGAGUUGUUUGGGAAUGCAGCUCUAAGUGGGUGGUAAAUUCCAUCUAAAGCUAAAUAUUGGCGAGAGACCGAUAGCGAACAAGUACAGUGAUGGAAAGAUGAAAAGAACUUUGAAAAGAGAGUGAAAAAGUACGUGAAAUUGUUG
rnacentral:rRNA from 1 species